UGAGCUAUGAUCAUGCCACUGCACUCCCACCUGAGUUACAGAGCAAGGCCCUGUCUCUAAAAAAAAAAUUUUAAUGAAAGAACAAAGGCAAGCAGCCUCCUAGGUGCUGAGUUGCUUUAUUCUUACCUAGGGAGAAGGCUACCAUUUACUGAGCCCUAUUCUUUGCCAGCCACAAUGCAUAUUUCCCUGCAUUGUAAUUUACAUUGUUAUUUACAUUGUCAUUGAUGUCUUGUCUCCUUAACAGAGCUGCAUCAUCCUACCACUUCUCUGAUAAGAAUCUUAAGGAAUACUGUACAAUGGUAAAUGACUUGCCUAAAGUUACCCAGCUGAUUAAUGUGACAGAGCCAGAGUUUUAAACCAAAACUAUCUUUCUCCAAAGGUUCCAGGCAUGAAGCAUGUGCUGUCCUGGGCCCUGAAUAUCAAGCCAGGUAGAGGAACCCCAUCCUUCUGUUGUCAUUUCAAGCUAGAGGCUCAAGCCUGGAGGAGUGAGGAUCAAGAUCGAGAACUCAAAGCUGUUUAGAGGAAGAAGCCAAGUUCAAGGAGGAGUGAGGAACGCUUGAGGCGAAACCUUUUGGAAGCUCAGGAAGCUUGGAGGAUUUCGUGGAUUACAGAAUGUUGAAGUUGGAGAACUGUAGAGGGGCCUAAAAAAUGUUCCAGAAUCAAGACGGUGCCUGAUGCCCUACCUAGCCCCUCUCCAGCACACAGGAGCCCCGGGCCCUUGGCAAUCAUGUCUGCGCAGCUUGGACCCCAUAUCCAAAAGGGGAGCACGCCCCAAUUUACUCUCACCCCACCAGGUUAAUCCAUGAGAAGAGCUUGGAACAGCGCCCGGCAGUGUCUCAGCGCACCCAAAGUGUGUGCAGGUAUGAUUACCAUUGCCAGUAGCUGAGCUGGGAAAAGGAUCUGACUAGAUAAUUUUGGCAAUAACUCGACAACUAUCCAAUGUGGACAGGGAAACGCAUGCCAAGGUUUCUAAAAAGCUCCCGCUGUGACACUCUCUGUGUCCUCCCCGGGCGUGGCGGCCUCCUGGCCAGGGACACCCGACCCCGCGUGGUCCGGGCUACCCAAGGACGUCCCGAGGCGUGGCGGAGACUUUGGCGGCUGAGUGCAGGCCGGGCUGCGGCCCAGCGGGACCUGGGCGAGGCCUGCGACCUGGGCGGGGCCAGGGUUGGGCUCUGCCAGAGC
rnacentral:lncRNA from 10 species